rnacentral:tRNA from 1 species
GCCUGGGUGGCUCAGUGGGUUAAGCGUCUGACUUUGACUUAGAUCAUGAUCUCCCGAUUCGUGGGUUCGAGCCCUGUGUUGGGCU